AACCUAGCACACCUGCGGUGUGUACCUGCGGAGGGAUCAUUACCUAGAGUUGUAGGCUUUGCCUGCUAUCUCUUACCCAUGUCUUUUGAGUACCUUACGUUUCCUCGGCGGGUUCGCCCGCCGGUUGGACAAAACUUAAACCCUUUGUAGUUGCAAUCAGCGUCUGAAAAAACUUAAUAGUUACAACUUUUAGCAAUGGAUCU
rnacentral:misc_RNA from 1 species